UCUCUAUUGGUGUGAGACCUUUUGAGGAAGCUCAAAGGAAAGCCAUGAGAGCUUAUGGUCAAAGUGGACAAUAUCAUACCAUUGUGUAGAGUCGUGUUCAU